rnacentral:rRNA from 1 species
GGCUCAGGACGAACGCUGGCGGCGUGCCUAAUACAUGCAAGUCGAGCGGGGUUGWUUAGAAGCUUGCUUCUAAWCAACCUAGCGGCGGACGGGUGAGUAACACGUAGGCAACCUGCCCACAAGACAGGGAUAACUACCGGAAACGGUAGCUAAUACCCGAUACAUCCUUUUCCUGCAUGGGAGAAGGAGGAAAGACGGAGCAAUCUGUCACUUGUGGAUGGGCCUGCGGCGCAUUAGCUAGUUGGUGGGGUAAAGGCCUACCAAGGCGACGAUGCGUAGCCGACCUGAGAGGGUGAUCGGCCACACUGGGACUGAGACACGGCCCAGACUCCUACGGGAGGCAGCAGUAGGGAAUCUUCCGCAAUGGGCGAAAGCCUGACGGAGCAACGCCGCGUGAGUGAUGAAGGUUUUCGGAUCGUAAAGCUCUGUUGCCWGGGAAGAACGUCUUGUAGAGUAACUGCUACAAGAGU